rnacentral:rRNA from 1 species
GAUGAACGCUGGCGGAGUGCCUAAUACAUGCAAGUCGAGCGGCAGCACGAGUAGUUUACUACUUGGUGGCGAGCGGCGGACGGCUGAGUAACGCGUGGGAACGUGCCCCAAAGUGAGGAAUAAGCUCCAGAAAUGGAGUCUAAUGCCGCAUAUGAUCUUCGGAUUAAAGUAUUUAUACGCUUUGGGAGCGGCCCGCGUCCGAUUAGAUAGUUGGUGAGGUAAAGGCUCACCAAGUCUACGAUCGGUAACUGGUCUGAGAGGAUGAUCAGUCAGACUGGAACUGAGACACGGUCCAGACUCCUACGGGAGGCAGCAGUAAGGAAUCUUCCACAAUGGACGAAAGUCUGAUGGAGCAACUCCGCGUGCAGGAUGAAGGCCUUCGGGUCGUAAACUGCUUUUAUGAGUGAAGAAUAUGACGGUAACUCAUGAAUAAGGGUCGGCUAACUACGUGC